rnacentral:lncRNA from 1 species
UCCUUGUAAAGCUAUGUCUACACUUGUGCGCUUUCCCUUUCACUUUCAACGUGCCUUUCAACUUUCAACAAAGCGCAUGCCCCAUUGCAUGCCUCUGUUGAAAGCAAAUUUUGUCCACACUGGUUCCUCAUCCACUUGCCACAUUCACGAUGGAUCAGACCGGCGUGAGUAUACGAGUAUUACUGGUUUUUAGUGCAGCUUUCUCGGAGAAACAGACAGAUACGCAAACGCAGAUAAAGCAAGUAAACGCACAAGAAAAAGUAUGAGUUGAAUAGAAAAACCCCCGAAUGGUCUGGAUUUACUUUCAACACAACGCAUGCUAUAGAAUUUGCGUCCUUUCAACUUUCAACAUCGCGCGCGUCAUGAGGCAUGCGUUGUUGAACAGAAAUAGGCACGAG